rnacentral:rRNA from 1 species
UACGGAGGGGGCUAGCGUUGUUCGGAAUUACUGGGCGUAAAGCGCGUGUAGGCUGCUUCGCAAGUCGGAUGUGAAAGCCCUGGGCUCAACCCAGGAAGUGCAUUCGAAACUGCAGAGCUGGAGUCCUGGAGAGGAAGGCGAAUCUCGGUGUAGAGGUGAAAUUCGUAGAUAUCGAGAGGAACACCGGUGGCGAAGGCGGCCUUCUGGACAGUGACUGACGCUGAGACGCGAAAGCGUGGGGAGCAAACAGG